rnacentral:rRNA from 1 species
UACGUAGGGGGCAAGCGUUGUCCGGAUUUACUGGGCGUAAAGAGCGUGUAGGCGGCCAAACAGGUCCGUUGUGAAAACUGGAGGCUCAACCUCCAGACGUCGACGGAAACCGUAUGGCUAGAGUCCGGAAGAGGAGAGUGGAAUUCCUGGUGUAGCGGUGAAAUGCGCAGAUAUCAGGAGGAACACCGGUGGCGAAGGCGGAUCUCUGGGCCUUACCUGACGCUGAGGCGCGAAAGCUAGGGGGAGCGAACAGG